CAGUAGCCGCGGUAAUACGAAGGGUGCAAGCGUUACUCGGAAUUACUGGGCGUAAAGCGUGCGUAGGUGGUGGUUUAAGUCCGUUGUGAAAGCCCUGGGCUCAACCUGGGAAUUGCAGUGGAUACUGGGUCACUAGAGUGUGGUAGAGGAUAGUGGAAUUUCCGGUGUAGCAGUGAAAUGCGUAGAGAUCGGAAGGAACAUCUGUGGCGAAGGCGACUAUCUGGGCCAACACUGACGCUGAGGCACGAAAGCGUGGGGAGCAAACAGGAUUAGAUACCCGGGUAGUCCCUGUCUCUUAUAC
rnacentral:rRNA from 1 species